rnacentral:rRNA from 1 species
AGUGAACGCUGGCGGUAGGCCUAACACAUGCAAGUCGAACGGCAGCACAGUAAGAGCUUGCUCUUACGGGUGGCGAGUGGCGGACGGGUGAGGAAUACAUCGGAAUCUACUUUUUCGUGGGGGAUAACGUAGGGAAACUUACGCUAAUACCGCAUACGACCUACGGGUGAAAGCAGGGGAUCUUCGGACCUUGCGCGAUUGAAUGAGCCGAUGUCGGAUUAGCUAGUUGGCGGGGUAAAGGCCCACCAAGGCGACGAUCCGUAGCUGGUCUGAGAGGAUGAUCAGCCACACUGGAGCUGAGACACGGUCCAGACUCCUACGGGAGGCAGCAGUGGGGAAUAUUGGACAAUGGGCGCAAGCCUGAUCCAGCCAUCCCGCGUGGGUGACGAAGGCCUUCGGGUUGUAAAGCCCUUUUGUUGGGAAAGAACAGCAGCAGGUUAAUACCCCGCUGUUCUGACGGUACCCAAAGAAUAAGCACCGGCUAACUUCGUG